ACGCUCGGCUCUCAGCCAAGAAGGCCUGGGUUCGAAUCCCGGACGCAGCGAGGCAAAUUGGCGAGCUUCUUAAUGUGCAGCCCCUGUUCACCUAGCAACAAGUAGGUACGGGAUGUAACCCAAGGGGCAAUCCAAGGGAUUGUGACCUCACUGUCCCAGUGUGUCGUUGAGUCAUACUUUGUCCAACCGCCAUUCCAGGGCUUGGACAAGAAGCGCCUUACUAGGCAGCAAACAAUCUCCCUAAGGCUGUUAAGGGAACCGAAGCCUGGUGGAACCCCAUUGCUUCACAACCGUUUGAUAAGGGAGGAUGGAAUACUGUCCAUCUCCCCGCCUCACGUUCAUCUCUUUGUAAGGAGAGCCGAGGGGCAAACCAUGAACCUCAAGAACAGGGGAAUGGCUGGCUGGAUGACCAGCUGAUGACCAUAGGUGAAUCACACACACGCCACCACCACUCAGGCUUGCCAACCCUAGGACCUCAAGGCUGCCAACACACUCGGCAACUCCUCCCGAGCCGUUGGGUGGCAUGUGUUUCUAAUAAAUAUACACGGUCC